rnacentral:rRNA from 1 species
UACGGAGGGUGCGAGCGUUGUCCGGAAUCACUGGGCGUAAAGGGCGCGUAGGCGGUCUGCUAAGCGUGCGGUGAAAGCCUGGGGCUCAACCCCAGGUCUGCCGUGCGAACUGGUGGACUCGAGCACUGUAGAGGCAGGCGGAAUUCCGGGUGUAGCGGUGGAAUGCGUAGAGAUCCGGAAGAACACCGGUGGCGAAGGCGGCCUGCUGGGCGAGUGGCUGGACACUGAGGCGCGACAGCGUG